rnacentral:rRNA from 1 species
AGGACCUGCGGAAGGAUCAUUAUUGAAAUAAAUCUGAUGAGUUGUUGCUGGUUCUCUAGGGAGCAUGUGCACGCUUGUCAUCUUUAUAUCUCCACCUGUGCACCUUUUGUAGACCUGGAUCUCUCUCUGAAUGCUAGCCACUCAGGCUUGAGGAUUGACUUUAAUGUCUAUCCUUACAUUUCCAGGCCUAUGUUUCUUCAUAUACUCAAUGUAUGUCAUAGAAUGUAAUCAAUGGGCCUUGUGCCUAUAAACAUAUACAACUUUCAGCAACGGAUCUCUUGGCUCUCGCAUCGAUGAAGAACGCAGCGAAAUGCGAUAAGUAAUGUGAAUUGCAGAAUUCAGUGAAUCAUCGAAUCUUUGAACGCACCUUGCGCUCCUUGGUAUUCCGAGGAGCAUGCCUGUUUGAGUGUCAUUAAUAUAUCAACCUCUUCAGCUUUUGCUUGUUGAGUGUUGGAUGUGGGGGUCUUUUUUGCUGGUCUUCUCAGAUCAGCUCCCCUGAAAUACAUUAGCGGAACAAUUUGUAGACCGUUCAUUGGUGUGAUAAUUAUCUACGCUAUUGACGUGAAACAGUUCAGCUUCUAACAGUCCAUUGACUUGGACAAAUUUUCAUUAAUGUGACCUCAAAUCAGGUAGGACUACCCGCUGAACUUAA